GUUUUAAUAGUUUAAGAAAAAUAAAGGUCUUGUAAAUCUUAGAUGAAUUAAUUUUCUUAAAACU
rnacentral:tRNA from 1 species